rnacentral:rRNA from 1 species
AUAUUGGCGAGAGACCGAUAGCGAACCAGUACCGUGAGGGAAAGAUGAAAAGCACUUUGGAAAGAGAGUUAAACAGCACGUGAAAUUGUUAAAAGGGAAACGAUUGAAGUCAGUCGUGUGAAAGGUACUCAGCCGUCUCUGGCGGUGUAUUUGUCUUUCACGGGUCAACAUCAGUUUAUUCCGGUAGAAAAAGGCUGGAGGAAGGUGGGACCCUCCGGUGUGUUAUAUCCUCCUGUCACAUGUGCCGGAUUAGACUGAGGAACGCAGCUUGCCGCAAGGCCGGGGUUCGCCCACGUACAAUUUUAUGAUGUUGACAUAAUGGCUUUAAACGACCCGUCUUGAAACACGGACC